GUAUAAAACCCCCACCAUUCCAAUGGUCCGAUCUCUUCUACGCGGGUCACACAGGGACCUGGACAACAGGCAUAACUCUUCAACUGGAUCCGAGAGUGUCAUACGAUCACGCGAUCAUAUGCACUACUUAAGUAUGAAUGAAUCACUGUUGUGUAUCCGGUAUUCAUUCAUAAAAAGGGGUAAUUAAGGUAUAAGCAUGGCUUGACUCUCUCUCUGAGGCCUGCAGAAGCAAACGGUGCUCCAGAGAAGCCCCUGCAGAGACGCUGUCUCUACGAAGCCGAGUGAAGCGGUUUCCCCUGUCUGGAAAGACGACAACAGGACCCGCAUCACCAUGAUUCAGGAGGGGCUGGUGCCGAACUGCAGCAGCCAUUGAGCAGGAGACAGGGUAGAAACUGCACAGUUCGCCAGUCAAUCAGAGGGCAACACAGAGACACAUUGGACAAACAACCAUACAGACAUUCACUCCUCAGGACAGAAGGAACUGACCCUUCAGACAGACUGAGUCUCUCGGCUAAUCCUCCUUCAUACUGGUUGAGGUUGCUGAAACACUUCUCCCCGAAGUGCUUCGCGCAAACAAGGAGAACUUUCGCCACUGAUGUCGGCACGUUUCCAUGAAAAAUAAAAUGUAACCAGGCACUCCGAAGAGGUUCUCAUCCUGGGGGACGGUGUAAUGACUGGUGUGGGUUAAUACACCCGACAACAGAACAUUUAGAUUUUUCCACUUGCUGCUUUGGCAUCUUUCAACUUGAACUACAAGAAUGCUGCAAGAAAAAAAUGACGGAUUCGCUGGAUUGGUUAGUCGGAAGUCAAUGACCAUCUUUAGAAGUUCCACAGGAAAUACUGUGAUGUUAUAGGGAAAAUGGAAAAAUCUGAACAGACUGACCAAAUAUGAUAGAAAAAGCAUCUAAAUACUGUAUAUCAUCUGUAUAUCUGGAGUGACUAAAUUUAAAUUUUCUAGACUUUCAGACACUCCCAAUACACAAAAAAUGUGUUUAAGAGCUAAAAAAGUGGAUUUUGCAUGAUAAUUGCUCUUUAAGAAAUACGGUCAGUUUGAUGCAGUUACAAUGUUUUUCUGCCAACAUGUAUAAAAGCAAACCAACCCAAGAAGUUUUCUCUGGAAAAAAAAAGGUAUUUUACCAGUGAUAUAGACACUUUUUUAUUAGUAAGAAAUUGCUCCAAAUUACCGGUAACUCCUCUAAAUCUUUCCAUUUCAAAGAUUUUUUAUGGCAGGGAAACAACAAUGCUCUGUUCUACUGUUGUAGUAGAGGUGGGCCAAGCACAUACCACCCCAACAUGUGCAGAUCAAAUGAGCAACGUCUACACUUUUAGCAUGAUGUCAUGGAACUUUCUACUUUAGACAGUAGUUUAUACGAAGAUAAAAAAGUGGUUUAAAAACUUCCAGCAGAUGUCAAACUCAAACCAUCAGACUGACAAACUGUUACUACUUUUACUGUAAUAACUUUUAAUCUGAUAUUUAAAGAAAAAGUAUUCAUCUCCCUGUGUUCUUGUGUAUUUAUUGACUGUAAAUCAGUGUCACUGGUCCAUGUUAACACAUCCUCCUGAACUUUCUGGUUCUCCUCUUCUGUAGAUAGCGUAAGUAUUAGUAACAGAUAAAUACGGGUUUCUCUUCUCGUCACAAACCUUCCUGACCUACAGGAGUUGAAUCAUCCAUGUUUAGUCUCAGAGGAGCUGUUUUUCUCAUUAAAAUCUGUUUGUUGCUCUCUGGUGGGAGGUUAUUGCAGACAGAUUGUGCAUAGACUGCUUUUUCUUUGCUGUCUUUGUUAUUAGGUGUUCCUCCAUCUGGACCUCCCACAUUAAUAGCCUUUAUUAAUGUUUAAUAGUGGGAUUACUCUGGGAAUCUUUAUUUGGCUUGGUUUCGCCUCAAAAUGAAACUGGACUGCAAUUUAUUUGCUUGUGUUUGUGGUGAACUUUGAUGUCCUGAAAUGUCCUUUAAACCUGUCGGUUUUUUAAAAGAUUUCAGCUCUGAAUGUAGCCAGGAAGAUACUACAGAGGUGGCUGAGAAGAGAUGAAAACAUUGUCUCUAGAAACAAAUUAGAAGGAACCUCAAAGGGCAAAUUUCAUAAUUGUUUACGCAUUUUCUGUUAUACUUACAGUUAUGUUUAUCUCUAGUUUGAAAAUAUGAGAAAAAGUGCAAGAAUAAAAUUUUAAAAAUAAUGUGCUUUCUUUCUGUUAUUUGCAUGGUUUUUCCAUUUUGUUGCUGUUUUUAUGCACUAACAUACAUGCAUAAUUUGUACAUAUUUCAAAUUAUCCUACUCAGUUGCACAUUUCUUCGAAUCUGAGUAUGAAGCUUUUUAAAAACAGCACAGUACUUAGAUUUGCCUUUCUCUUUGUGGCUGGUACACCUGAAUUUUCCCACUGAGGAACAAUAAAGGUUAUUUCUAUUG